rnacentral:rRNA from 1 species
UACGUAGGGGGCAAGCGUUGUCCGGAAUUAUUGGGCGUAAAGAGCGCGUAGGCGGUCCGAUAAGUCGGCUGUGAAAGUCAGGGGCUCAACCCUUGGAAGCCGGCCGAUACUGUCGGACUAGAGUCCGGAAGAGGCGAGUGGAAUUCCCGGUGUAGCGGUGAAAUGCGCAGAUAUCGGGAGGAACACCAAUGGCGAAGGCAGCUCGCUGGGACGGUACUGACGCUGAGGCGCGAAAGCUAGGGGAGCAAACGGG